GUCGGAAUUUGUCUGUUGGGCCA
rnacentral:siRNA from 1 species